UCCUACGGGAGGCAGCAGUGGGGAAUAUUGCACAAUGGGCGCAAGCUGAUGCAGCCAUGCCGGUGUAUGAAGAAGGCCUUGGGUUGUAAAGUACUUUCAGCGGGGAGGAAGGGUAAGGUUAUACCUUUCAAUUGACGUUACCGCAGAAGAAGCACCGGCUAACUCCGUGCCAGCAGCCGCGGUAAUACGGAGGGUGCAAGCGUUAAUGGAAUUACUGGGGUAAAGCGCACGCAGGCGGUCAAUAAGUC
rnacentral:rRNA from 1 species